GCGGAAGUGGCGGAAUUGGCAGACGCGCUAGGUUGAGGGCCUAGUCCUCAUGAUAGGGGGUGGGGGUUCAAAUCCCCCCUUCCGCA
rnacentral:tRNA from 1 species